CCUCCCCGGGCUGAAGGGGGGAGCCCGGGAGCCUCUCUCCUGACGUGGCUCUGAAGAGAACCAGCACCCGGCGAGGACUCUGGUUCCAGGCCUGUUUCCGAUUUUUCUAUGGAAGGAUAAGUCCUACGUUUAUCUGCCCCAGUGCUGAGAUGAGGAUUUGAAUUUAAACGGAACUCUUGGGUGGUGGACACGGAAGAUCACUGGGCUGAGAAAUCACUGGGUGACCCUCCAAGGAUGAAGAAGUAACGGGGUUUUCUGAUUUGUAACAGAACAAAAAUUAGACAUGAGCAAUGCUGCUGUUCCUUGAACUGGAUUAUUGUAAAGAUCCAAUAAGGAAAACUGAUUUUUAUGAACCAACCAACAAGCAUUGCAUAAUUUGGAAGUUGUGGCGCCUGAGUGAGCACUUCCAGGGAGAAGCUACUAGAAACUCAGGCUAAUCAGACACCUGCCUGCCUGCAUUCCAGAUGAUGAUCACAAACCAAAGGCAGAGGGAGCACAGGCUUUGCAAAGGAAGUAACCCUUGGUGUAAAAUU